GCUAUCUUCUUCACUUCUAGGGACCUAUGACCUUAAAUCGGGUUAGUGCCGAAGGGAGAGAUUUAUUGGACUGAUCAUCAAAUCGGUCAUUUCUUUAUAUUAUAUAAUUUUAUUAAAAAUAUAAAAUUUAUUAAUGAUUUAAUAUUUUAAAUAGGACUAUCUGAUUCUUUUAAGAAAGAUUAAAAGAUCUCGGACGAUCGAGGUAAGUAGAUCUUAUGCUCCUUAUUUAUUUUUAAAUGAUCAUGUUUUUUAUGCAAAGAAUUGCUAUUGAUGAAAUCAUAAUUUUUCAUAAAAUGAGGAUCGGUAUAUGUGAUAUGAA
rnacentral:lncRNA from 1 species